rnacentral:rRNA from 1 species
CCCUUAGAGUUUGAUCCUGGCUCAGGACGAACGCUGGCGGCGUGCCUAACACAUGCAAGUCGAACGGAACUGUUUUGAAAGAUUUCUUCGGAAUGAAUUUGAUUUAGUUUAGUGGCGGACGGGUGAGUAACGCGUGAGUAACCUGCCUUCAAGAGGGGGAUAACAUUCUGAAAAGAAUGCUAAUACCGCAUGAUAUAUCGGAACCACAUGGUUCUGAUAUCAAAGAUUUUAUCGCUUGAAGAUGGACUCGCGUCCGAUUAGUUAGUUGGUGAGGUAACGGCUCACCAAGACCGCGAUCGGUAGCCGGACUGAGAGGUUGAACGGCCACAUUGGGACUGAGACACGGCCCAGACUCCUACGGGAGGGCAGCAGUGGGGGAUAUUGCGCAAUGGGGGCAACCCUGACGCAGCAACGCCGCGUGAAGGAUGAAGGUUUUCGGAUUGUAAACUUCUUUUAUUAAGGACGAAACUUGACGGUACUUAAUGAAUAAGCUCCGGCUAACUACGUGCCAGCAGCCGCGGUAAUACGUAGGGAGCAAGCGUUGUCCGGAUUUACUGGGUGUAAAGGGUGCGUAGGCGGCUUUGCAAGUCAGAUGUGAAAUCUAUGGGCUCAACCCAUAAACUGCAUUUGAAACUGUAGAGCUUGAGUGAAGUAGAGGCAGGCGGAAUUCCCCGUGUAGCGGUGAAAUGCGUAGAGAUGGGGAGGAACACCAGUGGCGAAGGCGGCCUGCUGGGCUUUAACUGACGCUGAGGCACGAAAGCGUGGGUAGCAAACAGGAUUAGAUACCCUGGUAGUCCACGCUGUAAACGAUGAUUACUAGGUGUGGGGGGUCUGACCCCUUCCGUGCCGGAGUUAACACAAUAAGUAAUCCACCUGGGGAGUACGGCCGCAAGGUUGAAACUCAAAUGAAUU